rnacentral:rRNA from 1 species
GACGAACGCUGGCGGCGUGCUUAACACAUGCCAGUCGAACGAAGAGCGAUGGAAGCUUGCUUCUAUCAAUCUUAGUGGCGAACGGGUGAGUAACGCGUAAUCAACCUGCCCUUCAGAGGGGGACAACAGUUGGAAACGACUGCUAAUACCGCAUACGAUCUAAUCUCGGCAUCGAGGAUAGAUGAAAGGUGGCCUCUACAUGUAAGCUAUCACUGAAGGAGGGGAUUGCGUCUGAUUAGCUAGGUGGAGGGGUAACGGCCCACCAAGGCGAUGAUCAGUAGACAGUCUGAGAGGAUGAGUGGCCACAUUGGGAGUUAGACACCGCCCAGCCUUCUACAGGAGGCAGCAGUGGGGAAUCUUGCGCAAUGGGAGUAAGGCUGACCGGGCAACGCCCGGUGAGUGAUGACGGCCUUCGGGUUGUAAAGCUCGGUUAAUCGGGACGAAAGGCCUUUUUGCGAAUAGUGAGAAGGAUUGACGGUACCGGAACAGAAAGCCACGGCUAACUACGUG